UGCUUUGGACUGGGCCCAGGAUCCAGAGAGGAAGAAGGGAUCUCCAUACCCCUGGAAAGCCCAGCUCCAGGGGUUGAAUUUGGGAGUCACAUGCCAGACCUCCAGAAUGAGCCAGUAGGGGAAAACUCUUUCUCCACAAGCUGGAAGAUGCUUUAUUGUCAGAGAACCAGGGAGAGGUGCACCUCCCGGAAGGCGUCUCGGAGCUCCCUCACGCCAAUCAUGUCUGCAGUCUCUGCCAGCAGCUUAGGGCCCAUUAGCUCCACAAAAUCUUCAAAAUCCACCUUCCCACCACCUGAAGCCCAGUGUCCGCAUGCAGGCACCCAGCUCCCGGUACCCGAUGUAGCCAUCACGGUCUCUGUCAAACUCCUGGAAGGCCACCUGCAGCUCUGCCGGGCAGAGUGAGGGUUCGAGGUCUGAGGAGGCGGAGCUGCGCUGCAAAUAUAAGAACCGGAUCACCUUCUCUCUUGCUGCUGAACUUGCACAGCACUGCGUCGCCCAAA